UACAGAGGUCCCAAGCGUUGUUCGGAUUCAUUGGGCGUAAAGGGUGCGUAGGCGGCGCCGUAAGUCGGAUGUGAAAUCUCGGGGCUCAACCCUGAAACUGCAUUCGAUACUGCGGUGCUAGAGGACUGGAGAGGAGACUGGAAUUCACGGUGUAGCAGUGAAAUGCGUAGAUAUCGUGAGGAAGACCUGUGGCGAAGGCGGGUCUCUGGACAGUUCCUGACGCUGAGGCACGAAGGCCAGGGGAGCAAACGGG
rnacentral:rRNA from 1 species